rnacentral:rRNA from 1 species
UGGCGAACGGGUGAGUAACGCGUGAGGAACCUGCCUCAAAGAGGGGGACAACAGUUGGAAACGACUGCUAAUACCGCAUAAGCCCACGACCCGGCAUCGGGUAGAGGGAAAAGGAGCAAUCCGCUUUGAGAUGGCCUCGCGUCCGAUUAGCUAGUUGGUGAGGUAACGGCCCACCAAGGCAACGAUCGGUAGCCAGACUGAGAGGUUGAACGGCCACAUUGGGACUGAGACACGGCCCAG